ACUCAAAUGAAUUGACGGGGGCCCGCACAAGCGGUGGAGCAUGUGGUUUAAUUCGACGCAACGCGAAGAACCUUACCUAUCCUUGACAUCCUCGGAAUCUGCUAGAGAUAGUGGAGUGCCUUCGGGAGCCGGGAGACAGGUGCUGCAUGGCUGUCGUCAGCUCGUGUCGUGAGAUGUUGGGUUAAGUCCCUUAACGAGCGCAACCCUUGUCCUUAGUUGCCAACAGGUAAAGCUGGGAACUCUAAGGAGACUGCCGGUGAUAAACCGGAGGAAGGUGGGGAUGACGUCAAGUCCUCAUGGCCCUUACGGAUAGGGCUACACACGUGCUACAAUGGACGGUACAGAGGGAAGCGAAGCCGCAAGGUGUAGCGAAUCUCACAAAACCGUUCGUAGUCCGGAUUGGAGUCUGCAACUCGACUCCAUGAAGUUGGAAUCGCUAGUAAUCGCGGAUCAGAACGCCGCGGUGAAUACGUUCCCGGGCCUUGCACACACCGCCCGU
rnacentral:rRNA from 1 species